ACCGGCACCGGUGGCGGGGUGCUGUAAUCCAGCUGCUUUGGAGGUCUGGGCUGCUGGACGGAGUGCGGUUGGGAGUUCUGUCCUCUGUUUCUCUAUAUCGAUCAGGCGUCCGUAGUAAGCACGGUGUCGAUAUGGUUGAACUGGGGGAGCCCGGAUGCACUAGGUCGUCUAAGGAGGAGCGAACCGGCCCAGGGCGAAAACUAUUGCAUGCAGAUUAACUAAAGGCAUAAAAGUUUUAAUCAGAACUUAAGAACAACAUAAUUCAGUUGUUUUUU
rnacentral:SRP_RNA from 1 species